rnacentral:rRNA from 1 species
AGAUUAAGCCAUGCAUGUCUAAGUGCAAGCCACAUUAAGGUGAAACCGCGGAAGGCUCAUUAUAUCAGUUAUGGUUCAAUAGAUCGUACUCAGUUACAUGGAUAACUGCGGAAAUACUGGAGCUAAUACAUGCCAACAGAGUCCCGACCGGAGACGGAAGGGACGCUUUUAUUAGAUCAAAACCAAUCGGUGGUUUCGGCCAUCGUGCAGUCUGGUGACUCUGAAUAACUUUGGGCUGAUCGCAUGGCUUUCAUGCCGGCGACGCAUCUUUCAAAUGUCUGCCUUAUCAACUGUCGAUGGUAGGUUCUGCGCCUACCAUGGUUGUAACGGGUAACGGGGAAUCAGGGUUCGAUUCCGGAGAGGGAGCCUGAGAAACGGCUACCACAUCCAAGGAAGGCAGCAGGCGCGCAAAUUACCCACUCCCGGCUCGGGGAGGUAGUGACGAAAGAUAACGAUACGGGACUCAUCCGAGGCCCCGUAAUCGGAAUGACUACACUUUAAAUCCUUUAAGGAGUAUCAAUUGGAGGGCAAGUCUGGUGCCAGCAGCCGCGGUAAUUCCAGCUCCAAUAGCGUAUAUUAAAGUUGUUGCGGUUAAAAAGCUCGUAGUUGGAUCUGUGUCCCGCACCGUCGGUUCACCGCCCGUCGGUGUCAAACUGACGCGAUGCGGGACGUCCUGCCGGUGGCGUGUCAGGUGCGUCUUCCUUCGGGUUGGCGUGGCCGGCGCCGUUCAAUCCCGUCGCGGUGCUCUUCAUUGAGUGUCGAGGUGGGCCGGCACGUUUACUUUGAACAAAUUAGAGUGCUUCAAGCAGGCUGGAAUUGCCUGAAUGCUAGUGCAUGGAAUAAUGGAAUAGGACCUCGGUUCUAUUUUGUUGGUUUUCGGAACCAGAGGUAAUGAUUAAUGGAGACAGGCGGGGGCAUUCGUAUUGCGACGUUAGAGGUGAAAUUCUUGGAUCGUCGCAAGACGGACCGAAGCGAAAGCAUUUGCCAAGGAUGUUCUCGUUGAUCAAGAACGAAAGUUAGAGGUUCGAAGGCGAUCAGAUACCGCCCUAGUUCUAACCAUAAACGAUGCCAGCUAGCGAUCUGCUAAUGUUCCAUUGAUGACUUAGCAGGCAGCUUCCGGGAAACCAAAGCUUUUGGGUUCCGGGGGAAGUAUGGUUGCAAAGCUGAAACUUAAAGGAAUUGACGGAAGGGCACCACCAGGAGUGGAGCCUGCGGCUUAAUUUGACUCAACACGGGAAACCUCACCAGGCCCGGACACUGGAAGGAUUGACAGAUUGAGAGCUCUUUCUUGAUUCAGUGGGUGGUGGUGCAUGGCCGUUCUUAGUUGGUGGAGCGAUUUGUCUGGUUAAUUCCGAUAACGAACGAGACUCUAGCCUGCUAACUAGUCGUUUCUGGCUUCCUCUGUGCAGCCAGCGAAGACAAAUCUUCUUAGAGGGACAGGCGGCUUCUAGCCGCACGAGAUUGAGCAAUAACAGGUCUGUGAUGCCCUUAGAUGUUCUGGGCCGCACGCGCGCUACAAUGAAGGUAUCAGCGUGUCCUCCCUGUCCGAAAGGUCCGGGUAACCCGCUGAACCACCUUCGUGCUUGGGAUUGGGGCUUGAAAUUGUUCCCCAUGAACGAGGAAUUCCCAGUAAAGGCGUGUCAUUAGCACGCCUUGAUUACGUCCCUGCCCUUUGUACACACCGCCCGUCGCUACUACCGAUUGAAUGAUUUAGUGAGGUCUUCGGACUGGCGCGCGGUGUUCUUUCGGGAUCGCCGCUGUUGCCGGAAAGAUGACCAAACUUGAUCAUUUAGAGGAAGUAAAAGUCGUAACAAGGUUUCCGUAGGUGAACCUG